rnacentral:rRNA from 1 species
UACAGGGGGUGCAAACGUUGCUCGGAAUCAUUGGGCGUAAAGAGCUCGUAGGCGGUUUGUCACGUCGGCUGUGAAAACCCGAGGCUCAACCUCGGGCCUGCAGUCGAUACGGGCAGACUAGAGUGCUGUAGGGGAGACUGGAAUUCCUGGUGUAGCGGUGGAAUGCGCAGAUAUCAGGAGGAACACCGGUGGCGAAGGCGGGUCUCUGGGCAGUAACUGACGCUGAGGAGCGAAAGCGUGGGGAGCGAACAGG